rnacentral:rRNA from 1 species
AUGGCGGGGCUGAUGGAGAAGAUGAAGCUGUCGGAGGAUGAGAGGAAGGGUGUGAAGAUCCGGUGGAAGUCGAGAGCGAAGGAGUCAGUGGGAGAGAUCCAGGCGGUGGGGAAGGUCCUUUCAGAGAGGUCGGCGCACCCGGAUGCGAUCUGCAUGGCGCUCGAUCGCUGCUGCUGCCCCUUGAAGGGCGUAGACUGUAAGGAGCUCGGAGAGAAUGUCUUCCUCUUCACUUUCAAGCAGGAAAGCGGAAAGCGUAAGGCGCUGGAGGAUGGUCCUUGGAUGUUUGACAAUGAUCUGGUGGUGAUUGUGGACUUCGUGCCUAAUAAACGGAUUGAUCAGUAUGUUUUUGAGGAUAUCCCGAUCUGGUUCAGGGUUUUUGGACUGCCGUUGGGAAAGAUGGAGGAAGACACGGCGGAA